rnacentral:rRNA from 1 species
CAAUCUGCCCUUCGAUGGGGAAUAACCUCGCGAAAGCGAGGCUAAUUCCGCAUAACAUUCCGAUGAUCUUGGUCAAUGGAUUCAAAGCCGUAAGGCGUCGAAGGAGGAGCCCGCGCACGAUUAGCUAGUUGGUGAGGUAACGGCUCACCAAGGCUUUGAUCGUUAGCUGGUCUGAGAGGAUGGCCAGCCACACUGGAACUGAGACACGGUCCAG